UACGGAGGGAGCUAGCGUUAUUCGGAAUUACUGGGCGUAAAGCGCACGUAGGCGGCUUUGUAAGUAAGAGGUGAAAGCCCAGAGCUCAACUCUGGAACUGCCUUUUAGACUGCAUCGCUUGAAUCAUGGAGAGGUCAGUGGAAUUCCGAGUGUAGAGGUGAAAUUCGUAGAUAUUCGCAAGAACACCAGUGGCGAAGGCGGCCAACUGGUCCGGUACUGACGCUGAGGUGCGAAAGCGUGGGGAGCAAACAGG
rnacentral:rRNA from 1 species